rnacentral:rRNA from 1 species
GACGAACGCUGGCGGCGUGCUUAACACAUGCAAGUCGAACGGUGAAGCUCCAGCUUGCUGGAGUGGAUCAGUGGCGAACGGGUGAGUAACACGUGAGCAACCUGCCCCUGACUCUGGAAUAAGCGCUGGAAACGGCGUCUAAUACUGGAUACGAGAAGGGUCCGCAUGGGCACCUUCUGGAAAGUUUUUCGGUUGGGGAUGGGCUCGCGGCCUAUCAGCUUGUUGGUGAGGUAAUGGCUCACCAAGGCGACGACGGAUAGCCGGCCUGAGAGGGCGACCGGCCACACUGGGACUGAGACACGGCCCAGACUCCUACGGGAGGCAGCAGUGGGGAAUAUUGCACAAUGGGCGAAAGCCUGAUGCAGCGACGCCGCGUGAGGGAUGACGGCCUUCGGGUUGUAAACCUCUUUCAGCAGGGAAGAAGCGAAAGUGACGGUACCUGCAGAAGAAGCACCGGCUAACUACGUG